AGAGGUGGCAAGCGUUGUUCGGAAUUCUGGGCUUAAAGGGCGCGUAGGUGGUGGCAUAAGUCCAGGGUGGAAGGCUAAGGCUUAACCUUAGGAUUGCCCUGAGAAACUGUAUCACUUGAGUCAAGACAAGGGGAUGGCGGGAAAUUCCCGGUGUAGCGGUGAAAUGCGUAGAAUAUCGGGGAAGGAAAGGCCGGUGGCUGAAGGCGGGCCAAUCUGGGGUCUGAACUGACACUUGAGGCGCGAAAGCGUGGGGAGCAAACAGGAUUAGAUACCCUGGUAGUCCACGCCCUAAACGGUGGGUCUAGGUGUGGGGCUCGUAAGGGUUCCGUGCCGAAGGGAAACCAUUAGUCCCCGCCUGGGGAGUCGGCCGCAAGGUUG
rnacentral:rRNA from 1 species